UACUAAUAUAUAAGAGGGGAUAAGUAGGCUCCUCAGGGUCAACAUGUCUGUUUCACCACGAAGGCAGUUCGAUCAUUUCACGUGCUUCUACUUAUAAGUGAGCUCUUUGUGCCUAUGUUAGCAGCUAAACAUGUGUUCCCCCAAUUUUGCAAGUUUUCACGGGUUUGACAUCACGAUUUGGAGGUUCUUUACAAGACCAAGUAUUAUAUAAUGUAGGGAACUUGAAAUCUCCUUGCCAUCCCUUCAUCAAGCAGAAGGAUGGCUUUUUGAAUUCUCGAAGGGAUACUUACAUAUGAAUAGAUGGGAUGAACCAACUAAACAACCUUUUCAAGAAGCCAGGGCAAUAUUGUCUGAUUUUGUUCCACUAUCUCCUAUUGCAUUCAACAAUUAUAAGCAAAUUCUUAGCUACGAGCCUUUACUUUUUUCUUUUAGUUUACACGGAUAAAUUAUGCAUAGUAGCAUAUUAACUGUGGAUUCCCUAGCAUAGUACGACGACGUUCCCACUAGUAUAUAUUAUAUUUGUUUUGGUUUGAUUUUAACA